CCAGGCCCGCCAUAGUAGAUGUAAGUGCCCCAACUGGUGGUACUGGAGGAACCAGUCAUGACGUUAUAGCAACUGGGCAACGGAGCUAUCAAGCCCACACCAUUUGGUGGUUUGAGAUUGUUGGAGGAAUCAACAACUUGGAUUGCUCUGCUGUAGGUGGCCUUGCCGAACCCUUCCUCAGGAAAAUGUCCACUACCCAUGGGUGUGGUAAUUUGAGGCGAAUUCACCUCCCCACCCCAUUCCACACUGUCGGCAACGCCUGUCUGCAGGAGGGUGAAGAUGGAUGAUGGCCAGUAGCCCACAUUAUUGCCUUGCACUUGCAACCACCAAUUGCCCCCCGCUGGGUCCUUCCAAACUAAAUAAUCGUACUCAUAUUGUGUGUCACCAUAGGUGGAGACAGGGGAUAUGCUGCCACCGAUGACGAACUGCGGGUUUGUCUGGAUGAAUCCUGAGCAUGCUAGGUUGUAACAUCCCGUUUCCUUUUGAUGACAUAGAAUGAUUUUGAAGGUAACUAGCUCUUAUAAAGAUCUUGCUCUUAAGGUGUCACGUACCUGCCAUCCUGUUUCAAUGGUAUUAAGGUCCUUGUUAUCAUAGGAGCCCGCUGAGAUCCAUAGUUGGGACAGGCUGAAAUCACCAGAUGUUGCAAUCGUUGGUUGCCACACAUUGAUGGUCACUUUGGUUCCGUAGUAGUUGGCAUCUCCGGUUGCAUAUGCUACACCAUACUUGGCCGCUUGUGACACCAGCCAAGUGAGAGUGAGGGUGAGAGCUCAUGUCGUGCGUCUUCUUGCCAAACGUUGUAAGAGAGGUGGCCCUCAUGACAUCCUCCUCCUUGGUCCUUCGGAUUGGUAUAGUGUUGUCAGGGCACUUUUCGCCGUUCUGAUUCCAUGUUUGGGUGAAUGGACGUAUAUCAUGCGUAUAUUAUAUUAUAUUGGUGGUGUAGAGUGGAAUUAAUUAUAUAUGAAGUUAAUUCACCUGGAUUGUAUGGUCCUUGAGGAGAGGAUGAUCGAAUGCAGGCUGUCUGGAGAUGUGCACACAGUCUAUGAUAUCUCCAUCUGGGCUCU
rnacentral:sRNA from 1 species